GACGAACGCUGGCGGCGUGCUUAACACAUGCAAGUCGAGCGGUAAGGCCCUUCGGGUACACGAGCGGCGAACGGGUGAGUAACACGUGGGUGACCUGCCCUUAGCUCUGGGAUAAGCCUGGGAAACUGGGUCUAAUACCGGAUAUGACCUCAUGACGCAUGUUGUGGGGUGGAAAGCCUUGUGCGGCUAGGGAUGGGCCCGCGGCCUAUCAGCUUGUUGGUGGGGUGAUGGCCUACCAAGGCGACGACGGGUAGCCGCCUGAGAGGCGACCGCCACACUGGGACUGAGACACGGCCCAGACUCCUACGGGAGGCAGCAGGUGGGGAAUCUUGCGCAAUGGGCGAAAGCCUGACGCAGCGACGCCGCGUGA
rnacentral:rRNA from 1 species